CCCCGGGACCGCCGAGGCUGCAGUCGAGCGAGAUCUUCGGAUCUAGCGGCGGACGGGUGAGUAACGCGUGGGAACGUGCCCUUCUCUACGGAAUAGUCCCGGGAAACUGGGUUUAAUACCGUAUACGCCCUUCGGGGGAAAGAUUUAUCGGAGAAGGAUCGGCCCGCGUUGGAUUAGGUAGUUGGUGGGGUAAUGGCCUACCAAGCCGACGAUCCAUAGCUGGUUUGAGAGGAUGAUCAGCCACACUGGGACUGAGACACGGCCCAGACUCCUACGGGAGGCAGCAGUGGGGAAUCUUAGACAAUGGGCGCAAGCCUGAUCUAGCCAUGCCGCGUGAGUGACGAAGGCCCUAGGGUCGUAAAGCUCUUUCACCAGGGAUGAUAAUGACAGUACCUGGAGAAGAAACCCCGGCUAACUCCGUGCCAGCAGCCGCGGUAAUACGGAGGGGGUUAGCGUUGUUCGGAAUUACUGGGCGUAAAGCGCGCGUAGGCGGGCUGUUAAGUCGGGGGUGAAAUCCCGGGGCUCAACCCCGGAACUGCCCUCGAUACUGGCAGCCUAGA
rnacentral:rRNA from 1 species